CGCGUAGGCUGUGCUGUAAGUCAGGCGUGAAAGCCCCGGGCUCAACCUGGGAAUUGCGCUUGAUACUGCGGCGCUGGAAGGUGGGAGAGGAUGGCGGAAUUCCCAGUGUAGAGGUGAAAUUCGUAGAUAUUGGGAAGAACACCGGUGGCGAAGGCGGCCAUCUGGCCCACAUUUGACGCUGAGGCGCGAAAGCGUGGGGAGCAAACA
rnacentral:rRNA from 1 species